UAGGGAAUCUUCCACAAUGGACGCAAGUCUGAUGGAGCAACGCCGCGUGAGUGAAGAAGGCUUUCGGGUCGUAAAACUCUGUUAUUGAAGAAGAACGUGUGUGACAGUAACUGGUCAUGCAGUGACGGUAUUCAAUCAGAAAGUCACGGCUAACUACGUGCCAGCAGCCGCGGUAAUACGUAGGUGGGCAAGCGUUGCCGGAUUUAUUGGGCGUAAAGCGAGUGCAGGCGGUCUUUUAAGUCUGAUGUGAAAGCCUUCGGCUUAACCGAAGAAGGGCAUCGGAAACUGGGAGACUUGAGUGCAGAAGAGGAGAGUGGAACUCCAUGUGUAGCGGUGAAAUGCGUAGAUAUAUGGAAGAACACCAGUGGCGAAGGCGGCUCUCUGGUCUGUAACUGACGCUGAGGCUCNAAAGCGUGGGUACAAACAGGAUUAGAUACCCUGGUAGUCCACG
rnacentral:rRNA from 1 species